CAUUAGAGUUUGAUCCUGGCUCAGGACGAACGCUGGCGGCGUGCCUAAUACAUGCAAGUCGAGCGGACAUCUUCGGAUGUUAGCGGCGGACGGGUGAGUAACACGUGGGUAAUCUGCCUGUUAAACUGGAAUAACGCCUGGAAACGGGUGCUAAUGCCGGAUAAUAAGUUUUAGGGCAUCCUAAGACUUUGAAAGGUGCUACGGCACUACUAAUAGAGGAACCCGCGGCGCAUUAGCUAGUUGGUGGGGUAGAGGCCUACCAAGGCGACGAUGCGUAGCCGACCUGAGAGGGUGACCGGCCACACUGGGACUGAGAGGGGGGCCANACUCCUACGGGAGGCAGCAGUAGGGAAUCUUCCGCAAUGGGCGAAAGCCUGACGGAGCAACGCCGCGUGAGCGAGGAAGGUCUUCGGAUUGUAAAGCUCAGUCCCUUGGGAAGAGCGGAUAGAAGAGGGAAUGCUUCUAUCGAGACGGUACCCGAAAAGGAAGCCCGGGUAACUAGGGGCCAUCAGCCGCGGUAAUACGGUAGGGGGCAAGAGUGACCCGAAUUGCUGGGCAUAAAGGUGCCUAAGGGGUUUUGGAAGAGCGGAAGGGAAGUUCUGGGUUAGGCCNGGAAUGCUUUGGAAUCGGGGGGAGUUGAGGGCUGGGAGGCCACGGGCAACGGCGCNGCGGGNNGGAAUGGCGGAUAUAGUGGUCGAAGUCACUGCGGGAAGGGGCUAUGGUAUCACACACUGAGGGGNGNGCGGGCAGACGGGGGAUGGAGUGGUGUGGAGUCGCGAGGAAGGGACCGGGCCGGGACGGGCGGAGACGCGAAACGCGAGCCGCCACGAAUGAGGGGCUCAGGCAGGGGUUCAC
rnacentral:rRNA from 1 species